AACGAACGCUGGCGGCAUGCCUAACACAUGCAAGUCGAACGAGACCUUCGGGUCUAGUGGCGCACGGGUGCGUAACGCGUGGGAACCUGCCCUUAGGUUCGGAAUAACUCCCCGAAAGGGGUGCUAAUACCGGAUAAUGUCUUCGGACCAAAGAUUUAUCGCCUUUGGAUGGGCCCGCGUUGGAUUAGCUAGUUGGUAGGGUAAAAGCCUACCAAGGCGACGAUCCAUAGCUGGUCUGAGAGGAUGAUCAGCCACACUGGGACUGAGACACGGCCCAGACUCCUACGGGAGGCAGCAGUGGGGAAUAUUGGACAAUGGGCGAAAGCCUGAUCCAGCAAUGCCGCGGGAGUGAUGAAGGCCUUAGGGUUGUAAAGCUCUUUUACCCGGGAUGAUAAUGACAGUACCGGGAGAAUAAGCGCCGGCUAACUCCGU
rnacentral:rRNA from 1 species